UAACACACAUUUUUUUCUUGAUUUUAUUUUUAUGUCUUAAAAUUAUUUUUAGCUUUUGAUUUUUGGGAUGAAGGUUGACCAAUGUCACAUGGUUAACUUGACCUUUUCUUGGAAUUUUAUUUCCCACUUUAAAUUUAUUUUGGAUUUAUUUUUAACCUAGUCUUAUUGGUUGACUUUUGGUUUGACCUCUAUUUUAUUUCAAUUAAUUCACAUACUAAUUUACAUUAUUUUUAAAAUAUUUUUAGAGGAUGAUGAUG
rnacentral:lncRNA from 1 species